rnacentral:rRNA from 1 species
GAUGAACGCUGGCGGCGUGCCUAAUACAUGCAAGUAGAACGCUGAAGGAGGAGCUUGCUCUUCUGGAUGAGUUCCGAACGGGUGAGUAACGCGUAGGUAACCUGCCUGGUAGCGGGGGAUAACUCUUGGAAACGAUAGCUAAUACCGCAUGACAUCAGUUAUUGCACGAUAACUGUUUAAAAGGGGCAACUGCUCCACUACCAGAUGGACCUGCGUUGUAUUAGGUAGUUGGUGAGGUAACGGCUCAACAAAGCGACGAUACAUAGGCGACCCGGGAAGGGUGAUCGGCCACACUGGAAUUGAGCACCGGCCAGGCUCCCUCGGGGAGGCGGCGUAGGGGAUCCUCGGCAAUGGAGCGAAGGCUUAACGGGCAAAGCCGGGUGGGUGAAGAAGGGUCUCCGGUCGGAAAGCUCUGUUGUAAGGGGAGAAAGAGAUGUGUAGGGGAAUGUUCACGCUGUGACGGUAUCUUAUCAGAAAGCGACGGCUAACUACGUG